GCGGUAGAGAGAAGCUUGCUUCUCUUGAGAGCGGCGGACGGGUGAGUAAUGCCUAGGAAUCUGCCUGGUAGUGGGGGAUAACGUCCGGAAACGGACGCUAAUACCGCAUACGUCCUACGGGAGAAAGCAGGGGACCUUCGGGCCUUGCGCUAUCAGAUGAGCCUAGGUCGGAUUAGCUAGUUGGUGGGGUAAUGGCUCACCAAGGCGACGAUCCGUAACUGGUCUGAGAGGAUGAUCAGUCACACUGGAACUGAGACACGGUCCAGACUCCUACGGGAGGCAGCAGUGGGGAAUAUUGGACAAUGGGCGAAAGCCUGAUCCAGUCAUGCCGCGUGUGUGAAGAAGGUCUUCGGAUUGUAAAGCACUUUAAGUUGGGAGGAAGGGCAGUAAAUUAAUACUUUGCUGUUUUGACGUUACCGACAGAAUAAGCACCGGCUAACUCUGUGCCAGCAGCCGCGGUAAUACAGAGGGUGCAAGCGUUAAUCGGAAUUACUGGGCGUAAAGCGCGCGUAGGUGGUUCGUUAAGUUGGAUGUGAAAUCCCCGGGCUCAACCUGGGAACUGCAUUCAAAACUGACGAGCUAGAGUAUGGUAGAGGGUGGUGGAAUUUCCUGUGUAGCGGUGAAAUGCGUA
rnacentral:rRNA from 1 species